CCCAUACUAGAGGUUUUCUGACUAACUAAGUUACAAAGUCAGAAGAUCACACUAGGUCAUACUUCUUGCCUUCUCAACACCUAGUCGUCAUCCAUAUCCGACUCACUGGUGGUAACAUCCUCAUCUGGAGUGGGAGUUCCUGGUUCUUCUGCUUCAUCCUCAGAAGUAUCACUAUCCACUUGGAUGACAACUGGUCCUUCCUCUGCUGCUUCAGGAGCCUCGG
rnacentral:lncRNA from 1 species